rnacentral:rRNA from 1 species
CCUACGGGUGGCAGCAGUGGGGGAUAUUGCACAAUGGGGGGAACCCUGAUGCAGCGACGCCGCGUGGGUGAAGAAGCUCCUCGGCGCGGAAAGCCCUGUCAGCAGGGAAGAAAAUUACGGUACCUGAAGAAGAAGCCCCGGCUAACUUCGUGCCAGCAGCCGCGGGAAUACGUAGGGGGCAAGCGUUAUCCGGAUUUACUGGGUGUAAAGGGGGCGCAGGCGGCGAUGCAAGCCAGGGGUGAAAGGCUGGGGCCCAACCCCGGGACUGCUCUUGAAACUGCGUGGCUGGAGUGCGGGAGGGGCAGGCGGAAUUCGUGGUGUAGCGGUGAAAUGCGUAGAUAUCAGGAGGAACACCGGUGGCGAAGGCGGCUUGCUGGACUGCAACUGACGUUGAGGCCCGAAAGCGUGGGGAGCGAACAGGAUUAGAUACCCGUGUAGUC